UACGAAGGGGGCUAGCGUUGUUCGGAAUCACUGGGCGUAAAGCGCACGUAGGCGGACUUUCAAGUCAGGGGUGAAAUCCCGGAGCUCAACUUCGGAAUUGCCUUUGAUACUGUUGGUCUCGAGUCCGGAAGAGGUGGGUGGAAUUCCUAGUGUAGAGGUGAAAUUCGUAGAUAUUGGGAAGAACACCGAUGGCGAAGGCAGCCAUCUGGACCGACACUGACGCUGAGGCGCGAAAGCGUGGGGAGCAAACAGG
rnacentral:rRNA from 1 species